UACAGUGAUGAUUCAUUAGACUAGAGUCUCUGAUUUCACAAUGAAGAUCUUUCACAGUGCACUGAGUA